rnacentral:rRNA from 1 species
CGCGACGUAGGUGGUUCAGCAAAGUUGGAUGUGAAAUACCCCGGACUCAACCUGGGAACUGCAAUCCUAAAACUACUGAGCUAGAGUACGGUAGAGGGUGGUGGAAUUUCCUGUGUAGCGGUGAAAUGCGUAGAUAUAGGAAGGAACACCAGUGGCGAAGGCGACACCUGGACUGAUACUGACACUGAGGUGCGAAAGCGUGGGGAGCAAACAGGAUUAGAUACCCCUGGUAG